rnacentral:rRNA from 1 species
ACCAACAGGGAUUGCCUCAGUAACGGCGAGUGAAGCGGCAACAGCUCAAAUUUGAAAUCUGGCUCUUUCAGAGUCCGAGUUGUAAUUUGUAGAAGAUGCUUCGGGUGCGGCCCCAGUCUAAGUUCCUUGGAAGAGGACGUCAUAGAGGGUGAGAAUCCCGUAUGUGACCAGGUGCCCGCGCCCAUGUGAAGCUCUUUCGACGAGUCGAGUUGUUUGGGAAUGCAGCUCUAAAUGGGUGGUAUAUUUCAUCUAAAGCUAAAUAUUGGCCAGAGACCGAUAGCGCACAAGUAGAGUGAUCGAAAGAUGAAAAGCACUUUGGAAAGAGAGUUAAACAGUACGUGAAAUUGUUGAAAGGGAAGCGCUUGCAAUCAGACUUGCGUGCCGUCGAUCAUCCCAGGUUCUCCUAGGUGCACUCGGCGGCGCUCAGGCCAGCAUCGGUUCUGGUGGUGGGAUAAAGGCCUUGGGAAUGUAGCUCCUUUCGGGGAGUGUUAUAGCCCUCGGUGCAAUGCCGCCUACCGGGACCGAGGACCGCGCUUCGGCUAGGAUGCUGGCGUAAUGGUUGUAAGCGACCCGUCUUGAAACACGGACCAAGGAGUCUAACAUCUAUGCGAGUGUUUGGGUGUCAAACCCAUACGCGUAAUGAAAGUGAACGGAGCUAAGAACCCUUUAGGGUGCAUUAGCGACCGAUCCUGAUGUCUUCGGACGGAUUUGAGUACGAGCAUAGCUGUUGGGACCCGAAAGAUGGUGAACUAUGCCUGAAUAGGGUGAAGCCAGAGGAAACUCUGGUGGAGGCUCGCAGCGGUUCUGACGUGCAAAUCGAUCGUCAAAUUUGGGCAUAGGGGCGAAAGACUAAUCGAACCAUUAAACGCUAGGUGGUCAAGAGGGCGCUGGACAGCG